rnacentral:tRNA from 4 species
GGAAGCGUAUCGAAGUGGUCAUAACGGCCUCGACUCGAAAUCGAGUAAUCCUGUAAAAGGGACCGUGGGUUCGAAUCCCACCGCUUCCGCCA